rnacentral:rRNA from 1 species
GACGAACGCUGGCGGCGUGCUUAACACAUGCAAGUCGAACGGAAAGGCCCUGCUUUUGUGGGGUGCUCGAGUGGCGAACGGGUGAGUGACACGUGAGUAACCUGCCCUUGACUUUGGGAUAACUUCAGGAAACUGGGGCUAAUACCGGAUAGGAGCUCCUGCUGCAUGGUGGGGGUUGGAAAGUUUCGGCGGUUGGGGAUGGACUCGCGGCUUAUCAGCUUGUUGGUGGGGUAGUGGCUUACCAAGGCUUUGACGGGUAGCCGGCCUGAGAGGGUGACCGGCCACAUUGGGACUGAGAUACGGCCCAGACGCCUACGGGAGGCAGCAGUGGGGAAUAUUACACAAUGGGAGGAAGCCUGAUGCAGCAACGCCGCGUGCGGGAUGACGGCCUUCGGGUUGUAAACCGCUUUCGCCUGUGACGAAGCGUGAGUGACGGUAAUGGGUAAAGAAGCACCGGCUAACUACGUG